GAUCCUGGCUCAGGAUGAACGCUAGCUACAGGCUUAACACAUGCAAGUCGAGGGUCAGCAUGUAUCUGGCUUGCCAGAUACGAUGGCGACCGGCGCACGGGUGAGUAACGCGUAUCCGACCUGCCGCACACUCCGGGAUAGCCUUGCGAAAGCAAGUUUAAUACCGGAUGCCGUAAGGACGCCGCAUGGUGUUUUUACGAAAGGGGUUUACCGGUGUGCGAUGGGGAUGCGUCCCAUUAG
rnacentral:rRNA from 1 species